CUCAUCUGAAUCUGGUGCUGAAUCAGGAACAAUGAGAAAAGUGUUAUUUUCAGUCCUUCAUUUAUAUCUAGCAGGAAGCCAGCCCAAGAAUGAUGGACACGAAGCCCCUGUUCCCUUAUCCUCCAGGGCACCGUGAGGCCCACCCUACCCUACAGAGCGUGCUUCUUUUCCACUGUCAACACAUGUACCCUUUUGCAACCUUUUCUGUGUGUCUCGUCCAGUGCUGUAUUCAGGUCACCAAGAACCUGGAAAGAAUGCUCCCAGUGCCCGGUGGGGUGGCACAUGCCUAUAAUCCCAGCACUCAGGAGGCUGAGGCAGGAAGAUCAGUAUGAGUUUGAGACCAGCGUAAGCUACAAAGCGAGCUCACGGCCAGGCUGAACUGCAUAGCAAGAUCCUCUCUCAAAAAGACCAAAAAAGAAGAAUGCCCCCAAGGGGCAUUCCAGUAACAAAGUCAUGCAGCAGGACUGGGUGUGAUUCUGGUGGGGCAAGGGUCUCUGUCUCUCCAGAACCUGGGUCCUGCACCCUGCCCUCAGCCCACCCUGCUGGAUGCGUGGGCUCUCUCCGAGGGCAGCAGCAGCCUCGGAGCAUAGCGGCUCUUGCAGAAGGUGGGCGGGGGCCCAAGUGACCACUCAGCCUCUCCUGGGGCCUGAGCAGCAAGGAGGAAGAGAGGAACCAGAGGCUGAGGUCAGCCCGCCUCCCACGAGCAUGACGACAGGUUGGCCGUGGGCCCCGUGGUUCCGCCACAGGGAGGUCAGGCCAGGGAGGCUGCCAGGACACGGGGCUGAAGACGGUCCAGAUAACGCAGCCAGGGUAGCCUCUGCGGGUGGAAAUGACCUUUCUUGGCUUUAAAUAGCUGCCUCUCCGGAGCUCUGAAGCCUCAGCAGGGCUAUUAAUUCCUGGACUCCUGGGGCUGCCCUGCCCGUGAUUCCGUUUGCCCGGUUUGUGGAAGAUCUCAGGCGUUUCUCCUGCCGCUGCGCCCCUCCCCUUUCUUCAAUGGUCCUGUGCAAUUUGAACAAGGGGUCAGUUUAUUUCUAGUUAGCAGGCCUGGGAUUCGAGCUGACCACAGACAUAUUCUUACGAAUGACAUGGCUCAAGUCAACAGCAAACUCUUGAGGGUUUUCUUUGUAGCCUGGUGUUUCUGUAAUGAAAGGGAAUAUGUAACUGGAUGGAUGAUGAAAACAGAGGUCUGACCUAUGCAGGUGUGUGUACGCGUAGCUUUAGCUCCCCAGGUAACUGGCCCUCCAGAUCCAUGGGGACUGCUUACUAUGUAUCCAGGUAAACCAGAGUCCUAACUGAUAAAGUAACUCUUACCCCCAGGCCUGCCAUCCCUUAGCGGUGUGUCUUGCUGAGCUGGAUGACAAGAAUUCCACGAGUCUCUGAAUCCUGACCACCCUCCCCAGCUCCACUCCUGGUACCAUGCUGAGAAUGAGGUAGAGGACAAGACAGGUAGGCAAAGAGGUACAUGUCAAAAACUCCGCAGGGCUUGGUGGCUGACUGGCUGGAGAAGCAAUGAAUGAUACGUUAGUGAAGACUUCCAAGUAUUCACCAGAGAACCAGGGGAACUGGUGACCCGCAAAGACAGAAGUGUGGGAGUGGGCCGGAGCAGCAGGCAACCUGUCUCAGGAAUUGUGUCUGCUAAUAAAAAAGGUCCAGCCAGGGUGGCUUAAACACACAAAUGUUUAAGUCUGUAGAAGACUUAUUAGUCUUAUCAGUCUGUGGCUCUGAGACUAGUUUAGCAGCUCUAGGCCCUUGGGAUACUUCUGUCUUUCAGUUUAUCAUCUUUAAAUUCUCCUCCCGGCUCAAAAUAGCUACUGGAAUUCCACUCACUGCAUCUGAAUUCCAGGAAGUGAGCGAGAAAAAUGAGCGAAGGACCAAAAGGGCAUAGAAUUCCCACCCUUUUCAGGAAUCCUCCUAGAAAUCCCCUGCCACCCUUCUGCUUGUGUCUCAUUAGCUAAAAACUUAGUCACAGGACUUUGAAUGGCUACACCAAGCUGCAAGGGAGACCGGGCAGGGCAGGUUCUCGUGGCUGGGCAUGUUGUCCAGGGAUCUGUUACGGAGGAAGGACAGACGUUGGGAAGCAACCAGCGGAUCUUGCUAAUCUUUGUUGAACGGCACUGGAAGGAAAGUGAUCAAACUCACGACUGCCUGCUUGCAAGGCAGGCGCUUAUGCCGCUGAGCUAAAUCUCCAGCCCCGAAAAUCAUCUAACUUCUUUGGUGAGCAGAAUUGCAAGACAGGAGCAGUAGGGUGAUGGAUGGAAAGCUAGACUGGGCUCCAAGAGUCAUGACGUCAGCCUCUUAGCUCAGCCCCAGGAGCCUCCAAGCUCAGUCUCCUCAUCGGUAGCCUGGGGAUGAUGACUCUGCUUCAUGCAGCUGGCAGGUGGCUGACGGGUGUGUAAGUGCCCGGCUCAGCAUGUGGCCCCCCGUAGAAGGCUGUGGGUGACACUUGGAUGCCAGUCUUCACUGCUGUGUUCAUCGUCACGGCCAGAAGAGGGGAACAGCGCCCGUGCGCACCUGUCUGCGAAGGGAUCUACAAAAUGUGGUAUCGGGAUACAAGAAGCAUUCUGGGGUGGUGAGGAGGAAUGAGUUCUGACCACAACACAAACGGGCCUUGAAGAGAUUGUGCUAAGCAGCCAGUCACCAAAGGGCUCAUCCCACUCCCAGGAGUGCCAAGAACAGGAACCCUGGAAGAGAUAGAAAGUGGAACCGAAGCCACAGAGAAAUGGAAGAUUGGGACAGUCCCAUCCCGACUGGCACAAUCAACCCACUUCUUAAGCAACAGAACCUCACUGUGUUGAGGCAAAAGAAAAAUUUCAAGUUUUACUUGCAGUCAGUGAUGUGAGCAAGGGGAAGGUGCAGCCAUUCCCCCCAGCAAGUGGUCCUCUGCUGCCUGUCCUCUUUCUAAGAAGCAACCUGUUUUUCCCAGAAAUCCUUUGGUGAAUGUGCUCUGAUACCUCAUUGGCCAGCACUGAGUCACAUGGCUUCCCUGGUAGCAAAGGAGUUUGGGAAAAUAUUAGGCCACAAGGGGAGAUGGCUGUGGUAAUGGCUGUAGAUAGCCACCCUGCAGAAUCUGCAAACCCAGGAAUUACUGGGCACAUCUGAAAAAAAAUAGGGGCAGACAUUCUAGUAUUACUUCCUGCACAACUGGUGGAACCUAGAUACCCACUGUGAGAACCACUGGCAUAGUGUAAAUGGUACAAUGUCUGCUCUCAGGAUAUUGAAUUCUAUGACAAUAUUGUCAUCUAUUCUUCCAGUUACUCUUCUUGAUGUCCUUUGUAGCUGUUUUUCAAGCUGUUUUGUUUUUGUUUGUUUGGUUUUUUUUAUUUUUGGUACUGGGGACCAAACUCACAACUGCGUGCUUGCAAGGCAGGUGCUUAUGCUGCUGAGCUAAAUCUCUAGCCCCUGUAGCUGAUUUUAUAGUAUAGAGUCUAAUCAAGGACCAAAUAGUGUAUAAAUGCAAUGAUUUUUAAGCUUUUCAAAUUGAGAUAGAAUUUUCAUACCAUAAAAUUCAGUCUUUUCAAAAUGUACAGGGCUGGGGAUAGUGGCAUAUACCUAUAAUCUCAGAAUAUGGGAGGCUGAGGCAGGAGGAUUGCCAUGAGUUCAAGGUCAGCCUGGGAUACACAGAAAAUUCAAGGCUAGCCUGAGCUACAUAGUGAGACCCUGUCAUAAAUAAAUAAAUAAAAACAAAUAAAUAAAGGCUGGGAAUGUUGGCACACGCCUGUAACCCCAGAACUCAGGAGGCUAAGGCAGGAGGAUCACUGCAAGUUCAGAACCAAUCUGGGCUCCAUAUUGAGUUCAAGGCCUUUGUGAAGUACAUAGUGAAACUCUGUCUUUUUAUUUAUUUAUUUUUUUUACUUUUUCCUUUUUAUCGGUACCAGGGAUCGAACUUAUGACUGCCUGCUUGCAAGGCAGGUGCUUAUGCUGCUGAGCUAAAUCCCCAGCCCCGUGAAACCCUGUCUUAAAAGCAAUAAAAUAAAAUGUACGGUAUCAUCCAGUGGUUUUUAAGUAUA